rnacentral:rRNA from 1 species
CGGGAAAAGCUCAAAUUUAAAAUCUGGCGGUCUCUGGCCGUCCGAGUUGUAAUUUGGAGAGGAUGCUUCGGGUGUGGCCCCGGUCUAAGUUCCUUGGAACAGGACGUCACAGAGGGUGAGAAUCCCGUACGUGCCCGGUGGCCGCCCCCGUGUGAAGCUCCUUCGAC